ACUCCUACGGGAGGCAGCAGUGGGAAUAUUGUACAAUGGGGGCAAGCCCUCGAUACAGCAAUGCCGCGUGAGUGAAGAAGGCCUUAGGGUUGUAAAACUCUUUCGCCAGGGAAGAUAAUGACGGUACCUGGUAAAGAAGUCCCGGCUAACUCCGUGCCAGCAGCCGCGGUAAUACGGAGGGGACUAGCGUUGUUCGGAAUUACUGGGCGUAAAGAGUUCGUAGGCGGAUAAGCAAGUAAGAGGUGAAAGCCCAGGGCUCAACCCUGGAACUGCCUUUUAAACUGCUUGUCUAGAGACCGGAAGAGGUUAGGGGAAUACCUAGUGUAGAGGUGAAAUUCGUAGAUAUUAGGUGGAACACCAGUGGUGAAGGCGCCUAACUGGUCCGGUACUGACGCUGAGGAACGAAAGCGUGGGGAGCAAACAGGAUUAGAUACCCUGGUAGGUCAGUC
rnacentral:rRNA from 1 species